GCGCCGCGCGCGGUCGGGCGCGCCGCGACUGCUGUUCGCGGGCAGACUCGAGUACGAGAAGGGCGUUCAGGACCUGAUCGCGGCACUCC
rnacentral:tRNA from 1 species